rnacentral:rRNA from 1 species
AGCGCAGGCGGGAAGACAAGUUGGAAGUGAAAUCUAUGGGCUCAACCCAUAAACUGCUUUCAAAACUGUUUUUCUUGAGUAGUGCAGAGGUAGGCGGAAUUUCCGGUGUAGCGGUGGAAUGCGUAGAUAUCGGGAGGAACACCAGUGGCGAAGGCGGCCUACUGGGCACCAACUGACGCUGAGGCUCGAAAGUGUGGGUAGCAAACA